AAAACUCUAAGCGGUGGAUCACUCGGCUCAUGGGUCGAUGAAGAACGCAGCAAACUGUGCGUCAUCGUGUGAACUGCAGGACACAUGAACAUCGACAUUUUGAACGCAUAUCGCAGUCCAUGCUGUUAUGUACUUUAAUUAAUUUUAUAGUGCUGCUUGGACUACAUAUGGUUGAGGGUUGUAAGACUAUGCUAAUUAAGUUGCUUAUAAAUUUUUAUAAGCAUAUGGUAUAUUAUUGGAUAAAUAUAAUAAUUUUUAUUCAUAAUAUUAAAAAAUAAAUGAAAAACAUUAUCUCACAUUUGAAUGUGAAAAACGAAGAGAAAUAUUUUCUUUUUCAAUCAAAUAAUACUGAGAAAUGUCUAGCAUAAAAAAUUGAAAUAUUUUUCAUCUAGAAUUGUCUCUUAUUAAUGAUUCGGAAAUAGAAAAAUCUUGGUUAUGUUAUUAUUCUUCGUUGGUUCGUUAAAAAUGGAUAAAUAAAAACUUUGCAUACAAGAAUUAAUAAAAAUGUUAUAACGAAUUUAAUUAAAUGUUUUAUCAUUAUAUAUAAAGAAUUUAUGGCAAGAUAAAGUUAUAUACAACCUCAACUCAUAUGGGACUACCCCCUGAAUUUAAGCAUAUUAAUUAGGGGAGGAAAAGAAACUAACAAGGAUUUUCUUAGUAGCGGCGAGCGAAAAGAAAACAGUUCAGCACUAAGUCACUUUGUCUAUAUGGCAAAUGUGAGAUGCAGUGUAUGGAGCGUCAAUAUUCUAGUAUGAGAAAUUAACGAUUUAAGUCCUUCUUAAAUGAGGCCAUUUACCCAUAGAGGGUGCCAGGCCCGUAUAACGUUAAUGAUUACUAGAUGAUGUUUCCAAAGAGUCGUGUUGCUUGAUAGUGCAGCACUAAGUGGGUGGUAAACUCCAUCUAAAACUAAAUAUAACCAUGAGACCGAUAGUAAACAAGUACCGUGAGGGAAAGUUGAAAAGAACUCUGAAUAGAGAGUUAAACAGUACGUGAAACUGCUUAGAGGUUAAGCCCGAUGAACCUGAAUAUCCGUUAUGGAAAAUUCAUCAUUAAAAUUGUAAUAUUUAAAUAAUAUUAUGAGAAUAGUGUGCAUUUUUUCCAUAUAAGGACAUUGUAAUCUAUUAGCAUAUACCAAAUUUAUCAUAAAAUAUAACUUAUAGUUUAUUCCAAUUAAAUUGCUUGCAUUUUAACACAGAAUAAAUGUUAUUAAUUUGAUAAAGUGCUGAUAGAUUUAUAUGAUUACAGUGCGUUAAUUUUUCGGAAUUAUAUAAUGGCAUAAUUAUCAUUGAUUUUUGUGUUUAUUAUAUGCACUUGUAUGAUUAACAAUGCGAAAGAUUCAGGAUACCUUCGGGACCCGUCUUGAAACACGGACCAAGGAGUCUAACAUAUGUGCAAGUUAUUGGGAUAUAAACCUAAUAGCGUAAUUAACUUGACUAAUAAUGGGAUUAGUUUUUUAGCUAUUUAUAGCUAAUUAACACAAUCCCGGGGCGUUCUAUAUAGUUAUGUAUAAUGUAUAUUUAUAUUAUUUAUGCCUCUAACUGGAACGUACCUUGAGCAUAUAUGCUGUGACCCGAAAGAUGGUGAACUAUACUUGAUCAGGUUGAAGUCAGGGGAAACCCUGAUGGAAGACCGAAACAGUUCUGACGUGCAAAUCGAUUGUCAGAAUUGAGUAUAGGGGCGAAAGACCAAUCGAACCAUCUAGUAGCUGGUUCCUUCCGAAGUUUCCCUCAGGAUAGCUGGUGCAUUUUAAUAUUAUAUAAAAUAAUCUUAUCUGGUAAAGCGAAUGAUUAGAGGCCUUAGGGUCGAAACGAUCUUAACCUAUUCUCAAACUUUAAAUGGGUAAGAACCUUAACUUUCUUGAUAUGAAGUUCAAGGUUAUGAUAUAAUGUGCCCAGUGGGCCACUUUUGGUAAGCAGAACUGGCGCUGUGGGAUGAACCAAACGUAAUGUUACGGUGCCCAAAUUAACAACUCAUGCAGAUACCAUGAAAGGCGUUGGUUGCUUAAAACAGCAGGACGGUGAUCAUGGAAGUCGAAAUCCGCUAAGGAGUGUGUAACAACUCACCUGCCGAAGCAACUAGCCCUUAAAAUGGAUGGCGCUUAAGUUGUAUACCUAUACAUUACCGCUAAAGUAGAUGAUUUAUAUUACUUGUGAUAUAAAUUUUGAAACUUUAGUGAGUAGGAAGGUACAAUGGUAUGCGUAGAAGUGUUUGGCGUAAGCCUGCAUGGAGCUGCCAUUGGUACAGAUCUUGGUGGUAGUAGCAAAUAAUCGAAUGAGACCUUGGAGGACUGAAGUGGAGAAGGGUUUCGUGUGAACAGUGGUUGAUCACGAGUUAGUCGGUCCUAAGUUCAAGGCGAAAGCCGAAAAUUUUCAAGUAAAACAAAAAUGCCUAACUAUAUAAACAAAGCGAAUUAUAAUACACUUGAAUAAUUUUGAACGAAAGGGAAUACGGUUCCAAUUCCGUAACCUGUUGAGUAUCCGUUUGUUAUUAAAUAUGGGCCUCGUGCUCAUCCUGGCAACAGGAACGACCAUAAAGAAGCCGUCGAGAGAUAUCGGAAGAGUUUUCUUUUCUGUUUUAUAGCCGUACUACCAUGGAAGUCUUUCGCAGAGAGAUAUGGUAGAUGGGCUAGAAGAGCAUGACAUAUACUGUUGUGUCGAUAUUUUCUCCUCGGACCUUGAAAAUUUAUGGUGGGGACACGCAAACUUCUCAACAGGCCGUACCAAUAUCCGCAGCUGGUCUCCAAGGUGAAGAGUCUCUAGUCGAUAGAAUAAUGUAGGUAAGGGAAGUCGGCAAAUUAGAUCCGUAACUUCGGGAUAAGGAUUGGCUCUGAAGAUUGAGAUAGUCGGGCUUGAUUGGGAAACAAUAACAUGGUUUAUGUGCUCGUUCUGGGUAAAUAGAGUUUCUAGCAUUUAUGUUAGUUACUUGUUCCCCGGAUAGUUUAGUUACGUAGCCAAUUGUGGAACUUUCUUGCUAAAAUUUUUAAGAAUACUAUUUGGGUUAAACCAAUUAGUUCUUAUUAAUUAUAACGAUUAUCAAUUAACAAUCAAUUCAGAACUGGCACGGACUUGGGGAAUCCGACUGUCUAAUUAAAACAAAGCAUUGUGAUGGCCCUAGCGGGUGUUGACACAAUGUGAUUUCUGCCCAGUGCUCUGAAUGUCAAAGGCUGCAAGAUAACUUUCUUAAGGACUUAUAUUGACAGGUAUUACCAGCGAAUGGCGGUCCAACGGGCGGGAGUAACUAUGGACUCAUCUUAAAGUGGAUUUUCUAUCUCUAAACUUAAUGGCAAAUGUUUACCGUUGGCAUUAAGGGCCAGCCGAAACAGAAGUGUACCGUGUUAGAGCACAGAGCUUCUACGUAGGCUCGAGUGAGAUUCCAUCACUGAAGCGCACGGACGAGUGGAAGUACUUAGCAUCAACUUCACUGCAACGGGAGGGUUCGAUGCAAUCCGGCCGAGGACAUUGGUCCAAAGCUACAAAGAUUGACAAAGGCCCCCUCAAACCACAACAGAGGUUGUUCGCCUUCGGACUGUCCUUAUCCACAGCUCUACCACAAGUUAGCCCUUGGAGUGUGGCGAUAGGCGUCCUAAGAAAAACUGAUAAACUUAUAAGAUAUUAUGUGCGAAGAUGGCUAAAUCUUCCGCUGGAUGUGCCGAUAGCAUUUGUUCAUGCACCCCCAAAAAGUGGAGGUCUCGGAAUUCCAUCACUAAGAUGGGUAGCUCCAAUGUUAAGGCUAAGACGCUUGAGUAACAUUAAAUGGCCUCACCUCACGCAAAACGAGGUAGCCAGCUCUUUCCUCGAAGCCGAAAAACAACGGGCCCGAGAUAGAUUAUUAGCUGAACAAAAUGAACUGUUAUCGCGUCCGGCAAUAGAAAAAUAUUGGGCGAACAAGU
rnacentral:rRNA from 1 species